rnacentral:rRNA from 1 species
GUGUCAGCAGCCGCGGUAAUACGGAAGGUGCGAGCGUUAAUCGGAAUUACUGGGCGUAAAGCGCGCGUAGGCGGCUUGGUAAGUCGGGUGUGAAAGCCCCGGGCUCAACCUGGGAACUGCAUUCGAUACUGCCGGGCUAGAGUACGAGAGAGGGGGGUGGAAUUCCAGGUGUAGCGGUGAAAUGCGUAGAGAUCUGGAGGAACACCAGUGGCGAAGGCGGCCCCCUGGUUCGAUACUGACGCUGAGGUGCGAAAGCGUGGGGAGCAAACAGGAUUAGAAACCCCCGUAGUCC